rnacentral:rRNA from 1 species
CAGUCGCCGCGGUAAUACGAAGGGUGCAAGCGUUAAUCGGAAUUACUGGGCGUAAAGCGUGCGUAGGCGGUUUGUUAAGUCUGCUGUGAAAUCCCCGGGCUCAACCUGGGAAUGGCAGUGGAUACUGGCAAGCUAGAGUGUGUCAGAGGAUGGUGGAAUUUCCGGUGUAGCGGUGAAAUGCGUAGAGAUCGGAAGGAACAUCAGUGGCGAAGGCGGCCAUCUGGGACAACACUGACGCUGAAGCACGAAAGCGUGGGGAGCAAACAGGAUUAGAUACCCCAGUAGUCCCUGUCUCUUAUAC